GAUGAACACUGGCGGCGUGCCUAAUACAUGCAAGUCGAGCGAACAGAUGAGGAGCUUGCUCCUCUGACGUUAGCGGCGGACGGGUGAGUAACACGUGGAUAACCUACCUAUAAGACUGGGAUAACUUCGGGAAACCGGAGCUAAUACCGGAUAAUAUAUUGAACCGCAUGGUUCAAUAGUGAAAGACGGUUUUGCUGUCACUUAUAGAUGGAUCCGCGCCGCAUUAGCUAGUUGGUAAGGUAACGGCUUACCAAGGCAACGAUGCGUAGCCGACCUGAGAGGGGGAUCGGCCACACUGGAACUGAGACACGGUCCAGACUCCUACGGGAGGCAGCAGUAGGGAAUCUUCCGCAAUGGGCGAAAGCCUGACGGAGCAACGCCGCGUGAGUGAUGAAGGUCUUCGGAUCGUAAAACUCUGUUAUUAGGGAAGAACAAAUGUGUAAGUAACUAUGCACGUCUUGACGGUACCUAAUCAGAAAGCCACGGCUAACUACGUG
rnacentral:rRNA from 1 species